rnacentral:rRNA from 1 species
AGUGAACGCUGGCGGUAGGCCUAACACAUGCAAGUCGAACGGCGGCACAGUAAGAGCUUGCUCUUACGGGUGGCGAGUGGCGGACGGGUGAGGAAUACAUCGGAAUCUACUUUUUCGUGGGGGAUAACGUAGGGAAACUUACGCUAAUACCGCAUACGACCUACGGGUGAAAGCAGGGGAUCUUCGGACCUUGCGCGAUUGAAUGAGCCGAUGUCGGAUUAGCUAGUUGGCGGGGUAAAGGCCCACCAAGGCGACGAUCCGUAGCUGGUCUGAGAGGAUGAUCAGCCACACUGGAACUGAGACAAGGUCCAGAAUCCUACGGGAGGCAGCAGUGGGGAAUAUUGGACAAUGGGCGGAAGCCUGAUCCAGCCAUACCGCGUGGGUGAAGAAGGCCUUCGGGUUGUAAAGCCCUUUUGUUGGGAAAGAAAAGCAGCAGGUUAAUACCCCGCUGUUCUGACGGUACCCAAAGAAUAAGCACCGGCUAACUUCGUG